rnacentral:rRNA from 1 species
AUUGAACGCUGGCGGCAUGCCUUACACAUGCAAGUCGAACGGUAACGCGGGGCAACCUGGCGGCGAGUGGCGAACGGGUGAGUAAUGCAUCGGAACGUGCCUGGUAGUGGGGGAUAACUGCUCGAAAGAGCAGCUAAUACCGCAUACGACCUGAGGGUGAAAGGGGGGGAUCGCAAGACCUCUCGCUAUCAGAGCGGCCGAUGUCGGAUUAGCUAGUUGGAGGGGUAAAAGCCCACCAAGGCGACGAUCCGUAGCUGGUCUGAGAGGACGACCAGCCACACGGGGACUGAGACACGGCCCAGACUCCUACGGGAUGCAGCAGUGGGGAAUUUUGGACAAUGGGCGCAAGCCUGAUCCAGCAAUGCCGCGUGCAGGAAGAAGGCCUUCGGGUUGUAAACUGCUUUUGUCAGGGAAGAAAUCUUCUGGGUUAAUACCUCGGGAGGAUGACGGUACCUGAAGAAUAAGCACCGGCUAACUACGUGCCAGCAGCCGCAGUAAAAC